rnacentral:rRNA from 1 species
UACGAGUGGUGCAAGCGUUAUUCGGAAUCACUGGGCGUAAAGGGUGUGUAGGCGGCAUUUCAAGUCCACUGUUAAAUAUCCCAGCCUAACUGGGAAGAUGCAAUGGAUACUGAUUUGAUAGAGGGUGGAAGAGGGAAGUGGAAUUCCACAAGUAGCGGUGAAAUGCGUAGAUAUGUGGAAGAACACCGGUGGCGAAGGCGGUUUUCUAGCUUACUCCUGACGCUGAGGCGCGAAAGCAAGGGGAUCAAACAGG